rnacentral:lncRNA from 1 species
UUCGGCGGCGGGACUGGAGGCGACGGGAGCUGCGAAUGCGCGUUCCGGGGAGCGCCGCUGCGCCGGGACGGGCCCCCCGCGGCUGCCGAUCCGAGGAGCGCUGCUACAGGCUGCAGUGAGAAGCAGGAGCAACCUUUAGCUACAGGAAGCUGAGGAGCUGGAGCUGAGGCAGCAGAGCCGGAGGAGACAGAAAUGUGGCGGUCCAGUCGUGUAACACCGAGACCCCCUCUGCAACCAGCCCGCAGACCCGCUCCUUCAACCUCGUGGGAAUUCAGGAAGCGGCACACGGCUCUGCGAGGAAGCCUUGAUCUUUGUCACUGGAAGGUGUCACACAGGGAGCCUUCAGGAGCGGCCGAGGAGUUGCUGUAAGUCAGGCAACCAUUAGUGAGGGGGAGCCAGGGUCCACUCGAGUUUUGGGAAUGCCACAUCACCUCGUCUCCUCUUCAGCCAGGCAGACCCUGCCAGGAGGGCGAGGGCAAAGCGUGCGGCCCGAGGAGCCCGGCGUUCUUAGGAGAAUGGCGAGUAGCAGAAUUGCUGGUUUGUGGCUGCUGAGCAGCUAAGAUCAUGCAGUGAUGUUUGCUGUUCUUGAUUGUAGCUGAGCAAGGGACCACAGCCUGCUGACCAUAAGACAUUCCCAGCUGUCGAGGCAGCCUCCAUUUGCACAGGAUGUGGAUUCUCAUCCCCGGAUGCCUGAGAGAUAAGUCGAGGGCUAAGGCCCACAGAGGGGACAAAGGCAACGUGCUGGGAGGGCCUAUUGAAUCAGCUCUGGGGGCGGGCAUGUGCAAGAAGGGUCCCCUUAGGCCACCUAAAGGGAAAAUGUCUAUUUUGAUCUCGGUGCUGAAGCGUGCAGGGCAGACCAGUUCCAGUGCGUGUCCUGUCACUUGUCUCUGGUGCACUCUGUGUUGUUUGGGUCUCUCAGUCCUUGCACACAUUCUUCUCAUUGAAAGCUCUCUCUCCCUGUCCUGUCCCCUCGUUUGUCACGUCCUGUCCUGUGUCACCGGUGUCUGCACUCAUUUGUCCAGGAGCUGCUCUGCCCUGCUGCAUAGCCUGUAAUAGCAAAAGCCCCGGGACUUGAAAUUUGUAAUGCAGGGUGUAGUUGGGAUCUAGAUUCUAUUGGGAGAUUGACAUAACAUUUUUGGUGCUGUUAAGUUGUCCUGCAGCUGUUUGACACUAGUUCUAACUUCGUUUCAGAUGCAGACAGUUCAAAUCUGUGGUAGAGAGCGCCAGUCCUGGGUAAAGGUGUUGGCAUAAGCAGGUCAGUCAUUGUUUGCAUUUGCAGGAGAAGCCUAAAUCGUGACUGUGUUACAGCAGUGUUCUUUGCCUUUAUUUUUAGGAGGUCCAGGCAGAUAGCAGCAGUCAAGGCCCAUUGUGCUAGGUGAGCAGUGGAGAGAAGCUGUUGUUUUUGCUCAGGUUUCGGUUUUUGGUGCAACUGUAAGCAUCCAUUCUUGUUUGUGUACUUUAGGGAAUCCCUUCGGAGUACGCAUAGCACCUGUCACCAGCUGGCCAAUGGACUGGGUUUCCUGUGCUUUAUGAGACCUCUGGAAGUAUAGCGGGACUCUGUGAUGAAGCCUAAAAAUUUUGUAUUUCAGGGUCCCAACCUGGUAGCCCAGAGGAGUGGACAAGGAAUUGCGGUGAGUCUGGGAUGUAGGGAGGAGGAGCGUGGGUACACUCAAGGUUCAGCAAUGCCACGUCACCCCCUCUCCCCUUAACCGUGCUGUACCCAUAGGUGAUGCUGUCGGCCUCCAAGCACGCCUGAAGUGUGUGGCCUGGGCACUCUGAGGAGGAUGGCAGACCAAGAGGUGACAGCUGGAACUUAGCAGGCAGGAAGACGGCCUUCUUCUGCAGCCAACAGGGAUUUACAUCCCCAGAUAUGUGCAAGAUAAGUGGAGUGUUACGACCUACAGAGUGGAUGGAAGCACGGUGCUGGCUUGGGCCUUUCUAGAAGGGUUUUUUUUGUCUGUUUUGGGGAUGGGGAUGUCCAAGAAGCAUUUCCCUAGUCCUCCUAAAGGGAAAAUGUCUGUUUUGGUCUCAGUGCUGAGGUUCACAGGGCAGAGCAGUUCCGGUGUGUGUCCUGUCACUUGUCUCUGGUGCACUCUGUGUUGUUUGGGUCUCUCGGUCCUUUCUUCUCCUCGAGAGCUCUCCCUCCCUGUCACGUCCCCUCGUUUGUCACGUCCCGUCCUGUGUCACGGGUGUCUGCACAUAUUUGUCCCGGCCAUGCUCUGCCCUGCUGCAUAGCCUGGCCAGUCCAUAAGGUGAUGUUCGUCACUAAGGUUUGGCCACAGACCAUCCCCAGGCCAGGGUUUUUUUCAAGGAGGAUUUUUUGGAAGCUCCCGGGAGCCACGUUCCUGAGGAACAAUGAUUUCUGGGGUGUAACGGAGCAGUUGAGAUGAGAGCGAUGGUGAGUUUGUGUGUAACAUGAAGGAGGUGCUCAUGCUAGAUGAGUGUUGUUUUGUGUGUGUAAUCUUUCUUUUGUGUUUCCUCUAACAAUAAAACAAAAUGUAAUUAAACUAGAAAAAAGGAUCAUAUUGUGUUGAUAUGUGUUUGGUUUCCAUUGCCCUGUGUUGUUCUGUAUUUGCAUUUGCUGCUGCAUUUCCAUGUAUUGCUUUGUAUCUAUGCAUGUCUAUGGAUUGUAUCUGUACUUGCAUUUGUAUCUGUUGUUUCCAUGUGUUUUGCUGAAGUGUAAAUAAAAAAAUUCAUUCAGUGAAGUUGAAUCAACCCUAGUAAUGAUGCCCCUGCUCCCUCACCUUCCAGCUUUGGCUCCUGUCUUUCUUUGGUGUGGUUUAGUAAUUUUUUUUCACUGUAUUUCUUCCUUUGCUUCUCAUCUUACUUUUCUAUUUCUGACUUCAUUUCUGUCUGUCCCUAACUCUGUGUUUCUAUUUCUCACUGUUUCUAACUCUGUCUCUCUGCUUCUCUAUUUCCCGCUAUUUCUUUUUUUUCUUUCUUUCUCUGUUUCCAACUAUUUCUUUUUCUCUCUAUAGUUUAUACUUUACUCUUUCUUUUUCUCUCUAGCUUUAACUCUUUUUUCCUCUUUUUUCCUCUCACUUUCUUUUUCACUCUAACCCUGCUAAUUUUUCACUCUUUUUGUUUUCACUGUUUGCCACUGUUUUCAUAGUUCUUUUUUUUCUGUCUCUCUUUUUCUCUCCAACUUCAACUUUCUUUAACCCUUUGUUUCUCUCUAUUUCUACCUUUAUUUCUAACUCUGCUUUCCUUUCUAGCUUUAAAAAAGAACAGCAGUAAAAACUUUCAGGCUCCCUGGGAGUAAAAAAAAAAAAAAAAAACACCAAAAAAAACCAACCCAACCUUUAAAUAAUUAUUUAAAGAAAAUUAUUUAAUCCCUGGGAGCCUGAAAUUUUCUACUUCUGCACCAGACAUCCAGUUUUUCUUCUUUUUCCUAAUAGAUAUAGGGCUCCUAAUUAGCGCUCCAGCUGGCAGGUAGCAGUAGCAAUAUGCAGAAACCAGUAUUCCCAUCAAGCCCACCAGAUGAAUAAUGAUACGACCAAGAGUUCAUCAUGUUGAAACAUAAAUUUUAAGGGAUUUAGAGAUUUUAGAGCAGCCAAGAUUUUAGUUAAAGACAAGCCUUACUAGAGUUAAUUAAAAUAAAUUAGUAGGCCUUGAUAAAGUUAAGAGUGAGUAGUUAACUAGUAAUUGAUUGCCUGUCAGCACAAUGUUUAGUUAGCUGGGUUAAUAAUGAAGAAUAUAGAAACUGAUAAAUAGCUUUUAAGAACAUAAGACAAUUGUGGGCCUCCUCUGUUCUGAAAUCAAAUGAAGACAAGGAAUGGAAGUUCUACCAAGAGUUCAUUUGUCAUAUUUGCAUUGAAACGGUAGAAAGGCCAGAACAAGGAAGACUUCAUUUAAUUCCACAUUUUGGGACUCAUCCCCAUGAAAGGGACCACUGACCCAUUUCAGGGAACAAACUUCAUGCUUAAUAGCUUUUGAAAUGAUUAGCAUAUGAAGCAAGGAAUGGGAUGUACCAAAAUGAAUAGGUAUUUGUAAAUUCGGUAUUCAGUACUUGUAUGGACAAAACGGCUCUUUAAUCACUUGGAAAGUGCGGUGUGUAUUUGGGAACUAUCCCACACGCUGCUGGGUGUCGAAUAAACAUACACUUUCUAACUUCAAA